AGAAGCUGGCUUAGUGGGAAGUUUGAGCUGAUAACAAAAAGGACCUGCUGUGAGCAGAAUGCAUCCCAACUUGAACAAACGCAGACCCGAAUGGAGUCCCAGUCUGGAGAGAGUCCAUGUGGGCCAAACCCCUGGAGUCUUAUCGCUCCCUGGGCACCACAAAGCUUGUAAGCUAAGCGGAGAGGGGCAAAAUCGACAAUUUGUAAUCAACAGAUACUACUGCAGACCCUUACAAUGAACCUCCUAAGUUAAGACUGGUACCAGCCUGCAAGUACUGACCUGAUCC